CCCUUAGAGUUUGAUCCUGGCUCAGAUUGAACGCUGGCGGCAGGCCUAACACAUGCAAGUCGAGCGGCAGCGCGGGGCAACCUGGCGGCGAGCGGCGGACGGGUGAGUAACGCGUAGGAAUCUACCCAGUAGCGGGGGAUAGCCCGGGGAAACUCGGAUUAAUACCGCAUACGCCCUAAGGGGGAAAGCAGGGGAUCGUAAGACCUUGCACUAUUGGAAGAGCCUGCGUUGGAUUAGCUAGUUGGUAGGGUAAAGGCCUACCAAGGCGACGAUCCAUAACUGGUCUGAGAGGAUGAUCAGUCACACCGGAACUGAGACACGGUCCGGACUCCUACGGGAGGCAGCAGUGGGGAAUAUUGGACAAUGGGGGCAACCCUGAUCCAGCCAUGCCGCGUGUGUGAAGAAGGCCUUCGGGUUGUAAAGCACUUUAAGUGGGGAGAAAGGUUCGCUGCCUAAUAAGCAGCGGAAUUGAUGUUACCCACAGAAUAAGCACCGGCUAACUCUGUGCCAGCAGCCGCGGUAAUACAGAGGGUGCAAGCGUUAAUCGGAAUUACUGGGCGUAAAGCGCGCGUAGGCGGCUGUCUAAGUCGGGUGUGAAAGCCCCGGGCUCAACCUGGGAACUGCAUUCGAUACUGGAGGGCUAGAGUAUGAAAGAGGGAGGUAGAAUUCCACGUGUAGCGGUGAAAUGCGUAGAUAUGUGGGGGAAUACCGGUGGCGA
rnacentral:rRNA from 1 species